UGGGGAAUAUUGGACAAUGGGCGAAAGCCUGAUCCAGCCAUGCCGCGUGUGUGAAGAAGGUCUUCGGAUUGUAAAGCACUUUAAGUUGGGAGGAAGGGCAUUAACCUAAUACGUUAGUGUUUUGACGUUACCGACAGAAUAAGCACCGGCUAACUCUGUGCCAGCAGCCGCGGUAAUACAGAGGGUGCAAGCGUUAAUCGGAAUUACUGGGCGUAAAGCGCGCGUAGGUGGUUUGUUAAGUUAGAUGUGAAAUCCCCGGUCUCAACCUGGGAACUGCAUUCAAAACUGACUGACUAGAGUAUGGUAGAGGGUGGUGGAAUUUCCUGUGUAGCGGUGAAAUGCGUAGAUAUAGGAAGGAACACCAGUGGCGAAGGCGACCACCUGGACUAAUACUGACACUGAGGUGCGAAAGCGUGGGGAGCAAACA
rnacentral:rRNA from 1 species